UGGGGAAUAUUGGACACUGGGGGGAACCCUGAUCCAGCCAUGCCGCGUGUGUGAAGAAGGCCUUAUGGUUGUAAAGCACUUUAAGCGAGGAGGAGGGUACUGGUAUUAAUACUACCAGCUACUGGACGUUACUCGCAGAAUAAGCACCGGCUAACUCUGUGCCAGCAGCCGCGGUAAUACAGAGGGUGCGAGCGUUAAUCGGAUUUACUGGGCGUAAAGCGUGCGUAGGCGGCUAAUUGAGUCGGAUGUGAAAUCCCCGAGCUUAACUUGGGAAUUGCAUUCGAUACUGGUUAGCUAGAGUGUGGGAGAGGAUGGUAGAAUUCCAGGUGUAGCGGUGAAAUGCGUAGCGAUCUGGAGGAAUACCGAUGGCGAAGGCAGCCAUCUGGCCUAACACUGACGCUGAGGUACGAAAGCAUGGGGAGCAAACAGG
rnacentral:rRNA from 1 species